rnacentral:rRNA from 1 species
CGGAGGAACAUGUGGUUUAAUUCGAUGAUACGCGAGGAACCUUACCUGGCUUAAAUGUAGAGUGCAUUUUUUAGAGAUAGAAAUCCUUCGGGGCUUUCUGCAAGGUGCUGCAUGGUUGUCGUCAGCUCGUGCCGUGAGGUGUCGGGUUAAGUCCCAUAACGAGCGCAACCCUUAUCGUUAGUUGCCAUCUGGUAAUGCAGGGGACUCUAGCGAAACUGCCACCGUAAGGUGAGAGGAAGGUGGGGAUGACGUCAAAUCAGCACGGCCCUUAUGUCCAGGGCUACACACGUGUUACAAUGGUCGGUACAGAGGGCAGCUACCUGGUGACAGGAUGCUAAUCUCGAAAACCGGUCUCAGUUCGGAUCGAAGUCUGCAACUCGACUUCGUGAAGCUGGAUUCGCUAGUAAUCGCGCAUCAGCUAUGGCGCGGUGAAUACGUUCCCGGGCCUU